ensembl:lncRNA ANKRD44-AS1 ANKRD44 antisense RNA 1
ACAGGAAGUAUACAAAUACGCACAGCUAGAAUGUAAGGCACAGGCCGCAGGAGAAGUGCAUGGAGAAGGGAGAGAAAUUGUACCUGGCCUCCUGAAAGACGCAGCCUCUGAAAUGAAUAUUGAAGACUGGGGAGGAUUUAAACAGGUAGAGACGGAUGGAAUGGACACAGGGCUCGGGAGCAGCGCCAGCCCGACAUCGGCGGAGGAGCACCGGAAGUUCUGCAGCACUGGCUUUCUUUGCUCUUCCACCUAUGCAAGCUCCUUCUCUCUUGUGGCUUGCCGAGCCUGGUUAGCUCUGAGACCGGAAGUUCUGAAGUCAGCUGGCAUCCUACAUCUGUGCAACCUACUUCUCUCCCCAUCCCACCACAGAAACCAGAGCCUCGAGGCUUUUGGCUUGGGUGCUGCCUUCACAGUUUAGGUUUUGGUAAGAAGAAAGCUUAUCUUCAUGUCAUGAGAAAGAAAAAAAAAUGUAUCUUUACGUAACGAGCUGAAAGAACAAAACAAGUAUACCUAAGCCAAGUA